AGAGUUUGAUCAUGGCUCAGCUUGAACGCUGGCGGCAUGGCUAAAACAUGCAAGUCGAACGAGAAGCCAACUUCGGUUGGUGGACAGUGGCGAAAGGGCGAGUAACGCGUUCCUACAUACCCCGAGGUCGAGGAUAGCCCAGGGAAACCUGGAGUAAUACCCGAUAUGGUCCGCCUCGGCGGAGCAAAGGCUUGCUGCCUUGGGAGCAAGGAACGUCCUAUCAGGUUGUUGGUGAGGUAACGGCUCACCAAGCCAAAGACGGGUAGCGGGUGUGAGAGCAUGACCCGCCGCAUCGGGACUGAGACACUGCCCGGACUCCUACGGGAGGCUGCAGUAACGAAUCUUCCGCAAUGCGCGAAAGCGUGACGGAGCAAUGCCGCGUGCAGGAUGAAGCCCUUCGGGGUGUAAACUGCUGUCAGGGGCUAGGAACACAAUGACCAACCCCAAAGGAAGGGCCGGCUAACUUCGUGCCAGCAGCCGCGGUAAUACGAAGGGCCCGAGCGUUAAUCGGAAUCACUGGGCUUAAAGCGUACGCAGGCGGAUUUGUAGGUAUCUUGUGAAAUCCCACGGCUCAACCGUGGAACUGCAGGGUAAACCACAAAUCUUGAGACAAGUAGGGGUCAGUGGAACUAUGAGUGGAGCGGUGAAAUGCGUAGAUAUUCAUGGUAACGCCUAUGGCGAAGGCAACUGACUGGGCUUGUUCCGACGCUCAGGUACGAAAGCGUGGGUAGCGAACGGGAUUAGAUCCCCCGGUAGUCCACGCCGUAAACGAUGAACACUCGGUCGCGGAGCCUCUCAUGGUCUCGCGGCCGAAGGUAGACUGAUUAGGGCGCCGCCUGGGGAGUACGGUCGCAAGGCUAAAACUCAAAGGAAUUGACGGGGGCUCACACAAGCGGUGGAGCAUGUUGCUUAAUUCGAGUCAACGCGAAGAACCUUACCUAGGGUUGAACUACGGCGGAUUAGCUCCCUGAAAGGGGAGUGACACCCUCGGGUGGAACGUCGAUAGGUGCUGCAUGGCUGUCGUCAGCUCGUGCUGUGAAGUGUCGGGUUAAGUCCCUUAACGAGCGCAACCCCUGUCGUUAGUUGCCAGCGAGUAAUGUCGGGGACUCUAGCGAGACCGCCGGUGUCAAACCGGAGGAAGGUGGGGAUGACGUCAAGUCCGCAUGGCCUUUAUGCCCAGGGCUGCACACGUGCUACAAUGGUCGGUACAGAACGACGCAAUACCGCGAGGUGGAGCAAAUCGCUUAAAGCCGGCCCCAGUUCGGAUUGCAGGCUGCAACUCGCCUGCAUGAAGUUGGAAUCGCUAGUAAUCGGAGAUCAGCUACGCUCCGGUGAAUACGUUCCUGAGCCUUGUACACACCGCCCGUCAAGUCAUGGAAGCUGGCAGCGCCCGAAGUCGCCUCGAUUCAGGGGUGCCCACGGUGAGGCUGGUGACUGGGACUAAGUCGUAACAAGGUA
rnacentral:rRNA from 1 species